AGUGAACGCUGGCGGUAGGCCUAACACAUGCAAGUCGAACGGCAGCACAGUAAGAGCUUGCUCUUACGGGUGGCGAGUGGCGGACGGGUGAGGAAUACAUCGGAAUCUACUUUUUCGUGGGGGAUAACGUAGGGAAACUUACGCUAAUACCGCAUACGACCUACGGGUGAAAGCAGGGGAUCUUCGGACCUUGCGCGAUUGAAUGAGCCGAUGUCGGAUUAGCUAGUUGGCGGGGUAAAGGCCCACCAAGGCGACGAUCCGUAGCUGGUCUGAGAGGAUGAUCAACCACACUGGAACUGAGACACGGUCCAGACUCCUACGGGAGGCAGCAGUGGGGAAUAUUGGACAAUGGGCGCAAGCCUGAUCCAGCCAUACCGCGUGGGUGAAGAAGGCCUUCGGGUUGUAAAGCACUUUUGUUGGGAAAGAAAAGCAGCAGGUUAAUACCCCGCUGUUCUGACGGUACCCAAAGAAUAAGCACCGGCUAACUUCGUG
rnacentral:rRNA from 1 species